AAAUAUCAAAAUUGUGCAUAAUUCCUUUUAUAAAAAUCUUUAGAACGAUUUGUAAUUACUUACCCUUUCCAGCCAUAUUUUCAUCCACUUUCAAUGUCGGUAAACAGGUAAAUUGAUAGCUGUGCGCGAUCCCACAAUGCAAUAUUAAAAGGCAAAAACAACCGUGAUUGUGCAAAUGUAAACCCCAGGUAUGAUUAAAGCUUUAUAGGGACCAUCUCAAAAUCAAAAUAAAUUGCACGAAAGUGAAAGAACAAUCUUGGCAAAAACAAUCUUUUCAUAGCGAAAACAGGUUGAUUAGAUAAAAAGAUUCUUAUUCAUAAAAAUAUGUCGUAAAUUCAACGC
rnacentral:lncRNA from 1 species